CCCAAUCACAUAGUCGGCACCUCCCCCACAUCUCCUCCCCCUAGAUUAACAGUUAAACUUAUUAACAAGUACACACUUUUCCCCAAUUCUUGGAUGUACCCCAAAUACAGGGGGUACACCUUUACAUGAGGGAUCCCCUAGUAUCCCUGAUCUGGGUGAGCAACAUACUCAAAAAUCACCCAGAUCGGACCAGGGGUUCGGGAGUUAUGGCAGGGAAAAGAUUUGACCGACCGCACGGGCACAGUAGCCGAAAAUAGUUCCAUGAAUUCUGGCCCUGCGGUCGGUCUCCAUUCGCAUAUAAAAAGUCCCAAAGGUCCUUGGCAUCCAGGCUUGACUUGGUAUUCGGAUGAAUCCCCUAGUUCGCGGGAUUCAACAUACCGAAUGCUGGGCGGUUUGUGUGGUUUAUUCGUCACUUUCCGGAGUGCUGGAGGUCUUAGCAGUGCUUGGUUAUCGAAUGCCCAAUUUGGGUUCCAGGCAUUCGACGACCAAACACCACUGUUCGUGCGUAAGAUGGCCGCCGCCACGUGUUCGGCAGGCAAAUGGCGGCCGCACACGAACCUCAAUUACCAGCCUUUGCAACAUUGUUGCCUUCGGUAAUGAGGGACACACGACCACACCUGGGUGGUCCCUCAUUUGGUAUUUUACAUGCUUUCGUGGCUAAUACAGUAUAUGUAGUUCGUGAACCGAUUUACUGGCGACUACUGCCUUAAUAGUCAUACGGCCAUUUUAAUCCAAGCUUAUUCGAAUUUCGAAAGUCCCUUUUCAGUCUCUUAGUGGCAAGGUUUGCCACACCCCCCUCCACUUACUUCUUCCUCUUACUUCAAAAGACAUAUGGGGCCCGUGCAUAAUCGCAGGGGAAUGGAUGGGGCAUGUUCUAUUGAAAAAAGAAAUGUUUGUUUGGCGGUCUUAGCCCUGUUAUGUUUUUUAUAUUUUUCGUGUAAAACAAAAAUCAACCAGAGAGGACAGAGAUACAGUGCUGUAAUGUAUGAUAGAUACACUUCAUGUUACUAUGUUGCAGUAAGG